rnacentral:rRNA from 1 species
GGAUUAGAUACCCUGGUAGUCCACGCCCUAAACGAUGAGAACUAGAUGUUGGAGGAGAUUGAUCCUUUAGUAUCGCAGCUAACGCGCUAAGUUCUCCGCCUGGGGAGUACGGCCGCAAGGUUAAAACUCAAAUGAAUUGACGGGGGCCCGCACAAGCGGUGGAGCAUGUGGUUUAAUUCGAUGCAACGCGAAGAACCUUACCUGGCCUUGACAUCCUCGGAACCUCGCAGAGACGUGAGGGUGCCUUCGGGAACCGAGAGACAGGUGCUGCAUGGCUGUCGUCAGCUCGUGUUG